GUCCACGCCCUAAACGAUGUCAACUGGUUGUUGGACGGCUUGCUGUUCAGUAACGAAGCUAACGCGUGAAGUUGACCGCCUGGGGAGUACGGCCGCAAGGUUGAAACUCAAAGGAAAUUGACGGGGGACCCGGCCACAAGCGGUGGGAUGAUGUGGUUUAAUUUCGAUGCAACGCGAAAACCUUAACAUACCCUUGACAUGUCAAGAAUUCUGCAGAGAUGUGGAAGUGCUCGAAAGAGAACUUGAACACAGGUGCUGCAUGGCCGUCGU
rnacentral:rRNA from 1 species